UAUUGGCCUGCGUGAUUUCAGACAAUCCCCGAGUACCGGGGUAAAAUGAUCGCAGGAGGGUCACCCCCGGAUUUUA
rnacentral:sRNA from 1 species